AAGUAACGGCGAGUGAAGAGGAAAGAGCUCAAAGUUGGAACCUGUUUGGCUUAGCUAAACCGGAUUGUAAACUGUAGAAGUGUUUUCCAGACACGCCUGGUAAAAAAGUCCUUUGGAACAGGGCAUCAUAGAGGGUGAGAAUCCCGUCAUUGGCCAGAGCUGUUGUCUUUUGUGAUACAUUUUCAAAGAGUCAGGUUGUUUGGGAAUGCAGCCUAAAUUGGGUGGUAAAUCUCACCUAAAGCUAAAUAUUUGCGAGAGACCGAUAGCGAACAAGUACCGUGAGGGAAAGAUGAAAAGAACUUUGAAAAGAGAGUUAAACAGUAUGUGAAAUUGUUAAAAGGGAACCGUUUGGAGCCAGACUGGCUUGAUCGUAAUCACUCUAGGCUUUGGCCUGGAUGCACUUGCGGUCUAUGCCGGCCAACGACAGUUUUGUUUGAGGGAAAAAAUUACAUUGAAUGUGGCCCUUCGGGGUGUUAUAGCUUUGUAAAAAAUACCUUGGACGGGACUGAGGAACGCAGCGAAUGCCUUUAGGCGAGAUUGCUGGGUGCUUGCGCUGAUACAUGCUAGAAUUUCUGCUUCGGGUGGUGCUAGUGUGUAAAGGAGUAACCCGCUUAGUAUAUUUUUUAUUCGCUUAGGUUGUUGGCUUAAUGACUCUAAAUGACCCGUCUUGAAACACGGACCAAGGAGUCCACCAUUAGUGCAAGUAUUUGGGUGACAAACCCAUAUGCGCAAGGAAACUGAUUGAUACGAAGGCGCAAGCUGGCAGUAUCACCCGGCGUUGACGUUUUAUACUGAACUGACCGAGGUAAAGCACUAAUGAUGGGACCCGAAAGAUGGUGAACUAUGCCUGAAUAGGGUGAAGCCGGAGGAAACUCCGGUGGAGGCUCGUAGCGAUUCUGACGUGCAAAUCGAUCGUCAAAUUUGGGUAUAGGGGCGAA
rnacentral:rRNA from 1 species